UGUCUCGUUUGGGAUGGUUGCUUGGGUCUGGCCUGACAAAAAGUCCUCGUGGUGGAUCACUGCGAGGCGCAGCAGCCGCGAGGCUGGUUCAUGACCUUGAGCGUUGGGUCAGGAGCUUUGGUGAAUUUGACGAUUGGUGGGUGAGAGCCUGCCGGUUAUCGCGCCGUCAACAUAUCCCUUCCUUACGACGACAUUGAGCCUGCCCGGGGAUCCGGGUGCGUUCAUGGGCUAGUAGCUCAGUUGGUUAGAGCACACGCUUGAUAAGCGUGGGGUCGGAGGUUCAAGUCCUCCCUGGCCCACCAGAAACGGGGCCCACCAGAGUUGGGGGUGUAGCUCAGCUGGGAGAGCACCUGCUUUGCAAGCAGGGGGUCGUCGGUUCGAUCCCGUCCACCUCCACCAAGGUCUUUGGCUUUGUGUGUGGCUGGUCUGGUUGAGCGAACCGGGUGUCGUCGUUGGGGGGAUGAGAGAUCCCGAAGGGUGCUUUUGGGCAUUCUGCGGGUGUUGGUCUUUGGCAAUUGAAUAGGUUCUGGUGCGUCUGUGGGCGUAUCGCGGUCGGCAAGUCUGACGAGGGGAGGGGUGCCUUUGGGUGUCCUGAAGCUCUCGGCCGCGAAAGAGACGUUCAUGGGCGCGAGUGAAGAAUGUGUGUGUGACUUUGUUCGUGUUUGUGGCUCGUGAAGUCUUGCGAUGAGCGGGGACUGAUCCACGGUUUUGUGGAUGGUUUCUGUGCAUGGUGGGCGUGACGUUUUUCUCCCUUGGGAGAGGAUGUUCAUGCGGGUUUUGAGCGCGAUAAGGGCAUU
rnacentral:tRNA from 1 species